AAAAAGUUGAACAGAAACCAUGAUAUACAUAAAAUUUGAACUAUAUUAAUGUCAACAUAAAUUAUCAAAGGCAGGCAAAAAUUUUCAUGCAAGGUGAGUGAUGAUACUGACAAUUAGAUGCAUAUAGUGCACCCAAAACUUAAAUAUUCCCUAGUUAGAUUAUGAACUGAUUGAGUUCGUAUAAAACUAAUGGACUGCUCAUGACCAUGUUCUUCCUAAGAUAUAAAAACAAUUUCUCAACAACUACAAUAUCUUGUUUCACCACUGCCAUUAAUUCUCCAUUAAACAUCAAUGGCAACUAAAGGACAGAAAUU
rnacentral:misc_RNA from 1 species